CCUGUAGCUUUUUUUUUUUCUCUCUAAUUUAGUGGUGAGGUGUGGCCUACCCCUUAAUUUUCUCUUUCUUGGUACCUAUGGGUCGUUUCAGAUUGUUGUCUUUUACCGAUCACGGGCCAUGGGGGGCAUAUACAUAUAGAGGUGCAUAAAUGGAAACAGCAUCAAACACAGUUGCAGGGUGCAGCAGCCAGCAUGGUAGCUUUAAUUUUUGAGUUCCUUGAUUUUCGUUAUCUUUGUAAAUUGUAACAUUAAGUAAAAGGAUGAUGAUGAUGAUGAUUAUAGUGCGUUGGUUUUGGUUGGCACAUGGCACUAUGGCAGGGGUGGUAGGGUAGGGUAGUGGUACGGCUACAGGAAGCGCCGUUUAACUGCGAACUUGUCUCUCUGCCACAAUGCUAUAACACAAACACCUAGACUGCAAUUUUCUAUUCUCUAAUUUCUGAUUUUCUAUACUAAAUAUUUGUAUUCAAAGUGCCGAUUUUUUCCUUUUUCGCUGGUGGAUUCAGACUCGUUUUCCACAUAAUAACUUAUUAGCCCAA